UCGGGCAUGGUGUAAAGGUAACACGUCCCCCGCCACGGCUGCGGUGUUUAAAUGGUACCUGUGGUAAUGGAAGAUCGAGGUUCGAUUCCUCGUGCCUGAG